GACGAACGCUGGCGGCGUGCUUAACACAUGCAAGUCGAACGGAAAGGCCCUGCUUUUGUGGGGUGCUCGAGUGGCGAACGGGUGAGUAACACGUGAGUAACCUGCCCUUGACUUUGGGAUAACUUCAGGAAACUGGGGCUAAUACCGGAUAGGAGCUCCUGCUGCAUGGUGGGGGUUGGAAAGUUUCGGCGGUUGGGGAUGGACUCGCGGCUUAUCAGCUUGUUGGUGGGGUAGUGGCUUACCAAGGCUUUGACGGGUAGCCGGCCUGAGAGGGUGACCGGCCACAUUGGGACUGAGAUACGGCCCAGGACACUACGGGAGGCAGCAGUGGGGAAUAUUGCACAAUGGGCGGAAGCCUGAUGCAGCAACGCCGCGUGCGGGAUGACGGCCUUCGGGUUGUAAACCGCUUUCGCCUGUGACGAAGCGUGAGUGACGGUAAUGGGUAAAGAAGCACCGGCUAACUACGUG
rnacentral:rRNA from 1 species